GUGCCAGCCGCCGCGUAAUUCCACGCUCCAAUAGCGUAUAUUAAAGUUGUUGUGGUUAAAAAGCUCGUAGUUGAACCUUGGGCCUGGCUGGCCGGUCCGCCUCACCGCGUGCACUGGUCCGGCCGGGCCUUUCCCUCUGUGGAACCCCAUACCCUUCACUGGGCGUGGCGGGGAAACAGGACAUUUACUUUGAAAAAAUUAGAGUGCUCCAGGCAGGCCUAUGCUCGAAUACAUUAGCAUGGAAUAAUAAAAUAGGACGCGCGGUUCUAUUUUGUUGGUUUAUAGGACCGCCGUAAUGAUUAAUAGGGACAGUCGGGGGCAUCAGUAUUCAACUGUCAGAGGUGAAAUUCUUGGAUCAGUUGAAGACUAACUACUGCGAAAGCAUUUGCCAAGGAUGUUUUCAUUAAUCAGGAACGAAAGUUAGGGGAUCGAAGACGAUCAGAUACCGUCGUAGUCUUAACCAUAAACUAUGCCGACUAGGGAUCGGACGGUGUUAUUCAUGACCCGUUCGGCACCUUACGAGAAAUCAAAGUGCUUGGGCUCCAGGGGGAGUAUGGUCGCAAGGCUGAAACUUAAAGAAAUUGACGGAAGGGCACCACCAGGGGUGGAGCCUGCGGCUUAAUUUGACUCAACACGGGGAAACUCACCAGGUCCAGACACAAUAAGGAUUGACAGAUUGAGAGCUCUUUCUUGAUUUGUGGGUGGUGGUGCAUGGCCGUUCUUAGUGGUGGGGUGACUCGUCUGCUUAAUUGCGAUAACGAACGAGAACCUUAACCUGCUAAUUA
rnacentral:rRNA from 1 species